rnacentral:rRNA from 1 species
ACGGGGUGCAGCAGGCGCCAAAACUUUACAAUGCGGGAAACCGUGAUAAGGGAACUCCGAGUGCCCGUAAAAUCGGGCUGUCCAUCUGUUUAAAUAACAGGUGAAGAAAGGGCCGGGCAAGACCGGUGCCAGCCGCCGCGGUAAUACCGGCGGCUCGAGUGGUGGCCACUAUUACUGGGCUUAAAGCGUUCGUAGCUGGUCUGUUAAGUCUCUGGGGAAAUCUACUGGCUUAACCAAUAGGCGUCUCAGGGAUACUGGCAGACUAGGGACCGGGAGAGGUGAGAGGUACUCCAGGGGUAGGAGUGAAAUCCUGUAAUCCUUGGGGGACCACCUGUGGCGAAGGCGUCUCACCAGAACGGCUCCGACAGUGAGGGACGAAAGCUGGGGGAGCAAACCGGAUUAGAUACCCGGGUAGUCCCAGCCGUAAACGAUGAGCGUUAGGUGUAUCGGUGACCACGAGUCACCGAGGUGUCGAAGAGAAAUCGUGAAACGUGCCGCCUGGGAAGUACGGUCGCAAGGCUGAAACUUAAAGGAAUUGGCGGGGGAGCAC